UUGAUUUGGUUCCCUGUUAAAGAAAAGAAAUUGAGAAGGGAAUGGAAAUCCCUAGGUUUUCCCUUCUUCCCCACAACAGCGGUGAUUCUAACAGUAGGUUACAAUGGCUUUCUCCAUUUUUCAUCUUAUUCCUAUAUCCUCGGUCUUUCUCUUUAAGCUUUUGAGCUCUGUUAUCGCUAAGUUCGGCAUGUUUAAGGCAAAGUCUUGGCUGACCUGUUUCCACCCUUACCGAAAAUAAUGGUGUAGAGAAUUACACGUAGGGGCUUCUUAUAAGGAUGAAGAAUGAAGCUCAGGCGAUUCAGCCUUAUGCGUGA